AUCAGCACCGGCCCCAUCUCCCUAGCAGGAAGCUGGGCAGCCACUGCAGGCCAGGUGUGGACGACCCUCACAACUCUCCCAUCUGCGUGGACAUCGCUGGACGGGGUGGUAAGGGGGAGGGGAGCAGCGAGGAGAGGGUGGGUGCAGCCCCCCACCCCUCUGGUCCCUGCCUUUGCUGUGAGCAAGUGGAGAAAGCCCAGCUCCUGGAGGUGGGGCCAAGUCUGCAGUGUCCUCAAUGCCACCAACCAGGCCUGACCCUGACCACUGACUGAGCACCACGUGGUGCCUCUGCCCUGGAUGUGGGCACCCCCGUGCCCUCCUGGCUCUGUUGCAGCAGACCUGUACGCCAGGGCCUUCUAGACGGUUCUGGCCCCUCCCGUGUGGACUGUUCCCACCAUACCUGGUCUGGGCUGAGGCUUCCUGGCCCUUCCCCCUCCCACCCUGACGAGGUUGGCCUGGGGCGCCCAUGGAUGCACCCUGCCCACAUGGCCCUCUGCGGUCACCCACAGCCAGCGGGACCCAGAUUCCCUGCAGGCCAAAUGCAGGUGCCCCAGUUCCUCCAGCCCCUCCCCCCGCAGUAUGUGGGCAGUGACAAAGAGGGGGUGGGUCUGGCCCUGUGCCAUGCUGGGGCCCCAUGCCCGCCCUACCUGCCCUGAGUGUCCCGGCCGUGAGUCCCCAGCCCACUGGCUUCAGGCACUUCCAAGCCCCUUGCUCGCUUCCCUGAAGAGGCUGUGGGUUUCUCCAGGCCAGGCCUGUGGUCAGCAAUGCAGGCAGGUGUUUGUGAUCAGGGCAUCUGUGCUAUCAGGAACAGCCCCCAAACCACGCAGGGAGGGAGGAGGCCCUGAGAGAGAAGGUGCCGUUACAUGCACGUGACCACAGAGAAGGCUGCCUUCACCCCGUCUGCACCCCGGGAGUGCCUGCCACACUGAGGUCCGCGCGCAGUUUCUGGUUUUCUGAUGCUGACUUUUUUUUUUUUUUGGAGACAGAGUCUUGCUCUGUCACCCAGGCUAUAGUGCAGUGGCGUGAUCUCGGCUCACUGCAAGCUCCGCCUCCUGGGUUCACGCCAUCCUCCUGCCUCAGCCUCCUGAGUAGCUGGGAUUACAGGCGCCGGUUGCCACGCCCGGCUAAUUUUUUUGUAUUUUUAGUAGAGACGGGGUUUCACUGUGUUAGUCAGGAUGGUCUCGAUCUCCUGACCUCGUGAUCCAGCCACCUCAGCCUCCCAAAGUGCUGGGAUUACAGGCGUGAGCCACCUCGCCCAGCCGGUGCUGCCUUCUUGAGCCGUGGCCUCCACAGUGCUUCACCUGGCUCCCGCAAAACAGCUUCAUUGAGAUGAAAUUCACAUGCUCACAAGUCACUCUUUACAGUGUACAAUUCAGUGGUUUUUAGCAUGUUCACGAAGUUGUGCAACCAUCCCCACUCAUCUCACUCCGGAACACGUUCAUCAUCCGCAG
rnacentral:lncRNA from 10 species